rnacentral:rRNA from 1 species
GUUUGAUCCUGGCUCAGAACAAACGCUGGCGGCGUGUCUUAAGCAUGCAAGUUGAGCGCAAGGAGGAGAGAUCCUCCCUAGAGCGGCGGACUGGUGAGUAACGCGUGGGUAUCUAUCGUAGGCAUGGGGAUAGUCACUAGAAAUAGUGGGUAAUACCGAAUACGAGGGGAGUACAAAGGGUGCUAUGGCACUGGCCUUAGGUGAGCUCGCGUCCCAUUAGCUAGUUGGUGAGGUAAAGGCCCACCAAGGCGAUGAUGGGUAGCCGGCCUGAGAGGGUGUACGGCCACACUGGGACUGAGAUACGGCCCAGACUCCUACGGGAGGCAGCAGCUAAGAAUAUUCCGCAAUGGACGAAAGUCUGACGGAGCGACGCCGCGUGGAUGAAGAAGGCCGAAAGGUUGUAAAGUUCUUUUGCUAGGGGAGAAAAGUGAGGGAGGGAAUGCCCUCAUGAUGACAAGGACUAGCGAAUAAGCCCCGGCCAACUACGUGCCAGCAGCCGCGGUAACACGUAGGGGGCGAGCGUUGUUCGGAAUUACUGGGCGUAAAGGGCAUGUAGGCGGCUUGGUAAGCCUGGCGUGAAAGACUGCAGCUUAACUGUAGGGAUGCGUUGGGAACUGCUUAGCUUGAGUUACGGAGAGGGAGCUGGAAUUCCUGGUGUAGGGGUGAAAUCUGUAGAUAUCAGGAAGAACACCGAUGGCGAAGGCAGGCUUCUGGUCGAUAACUGACGCUGAGGUGCGAAAGUGUGGGGAUCAAACAGGAUUAGAUACCCUGGUAGUCCACACUGUAAACGAUGUGCACGAGGUGCUGGGGCGGUAGUUUCAGUGCCGGAGCGAACGCGGUAAGUGCACCGCCUGGGGAGUAUGCUCGCAAGGGUGAAACUCAAAGGAAUUGACGGGUCCCCGCACAAGCAGCGGAGCGUGUGGUUUAAUUCGAUGCUACACGAAGAACCUUACCUGGGUUUGACAUAAGGUAGUAGGGAAGCGAAAGCGGACCGACCCUUCGGGAGCCUCUACAGGUGUUGCAUGGCUGUCGUCAGCUCGUGUCGUGAGAUGUUCGGUUAAGUCCGCUAACGAGCGCAACCCUCGCUGUGUGUUACAAG